rnacentral:lncRNA from 1 species
AACGAGAAACUCAACCUUGUAUUAGGAGCAAGAGCGGCAUAAUUCAUCAAAAACUACACACCAUUUACAUUGCUUUCCAUGGAGAUUUCCUGGGGAAAGUGUAGAACACACAGUUUUUUCAUACAAACCCUAUUACUAAAUUUUCAAUGUAAUAAUUAAUUUUCAGACUUGAAAAAGUGUAACUCUUACAAAAACCCUCUGAUAUGCUUAUAAUAAAAAGUAUGACCAUGAUUUUUUCAAGUUUUGAUCUGAAAAUGGACAUAACCCUGACCUCCUACGGACUUUCCAUGGUAAGGAUACUGAUGAUCUCCACCUUCUCCCCUCUUUUGAGAGGCCCAGUAAGUCACGUAAUCAAAGGAGAGAGGAUUGAAACAUGGGGACAUAAUUUUGCACUAUCAUGAGGUACAAAUAUUUAACACUAUUAAAACAGCGCUGAAGAGAAUGGGGAAAAAAGAGGCACAGUUAUAUGCUGUUGGGCUAACUUCUGCAGGAAGCAACUCAGCAAUACACAUGUGAAGCUUAAAAACAUGCAGAACUUCUGAAUCCGUAUUUCUACACUCAGGAAUCUGUUCUUCCCCGGUAAUAAUGCAAAACACAAACAAAAUAAAUGUAUACCAUAUUCAUCAAACCAGCAUUUAUCAUUGAAAGAAAUAAGAAAAAAAGCAAUACCUAACAAUAAAAAAGUAGAGAAAAAUGACUAUUGACUGUGUAAUGGAAUAUGAUGCAACCAUUAAACGAUGGCGGUCAUUAGGUUAUGCAGAGCGAGGUCAAGUGGCCAAGUGGCAUGAGCAUCACCACUCCUGCAGCAGCCUGGGCAGCUUCCACUGGGCAGAACAGACCCAGGAUGACAGGCCCGUAGUAUAGGACUCCAUUGUCCAUCACACCCCACCCCGCUAGGUAGCAGCAGUCCAGCCAGUGCAGAUGUUUGUUGCCUGGAGAGAGUCUGAUGCCUGAACUGCAACCUUCAAACUGCGAGACUGGGGAGUGUCACUGGGGUGUCUUCAGGACCUUGGAUAACUCCAGUGAGGCCGUAAGAUUAGAGAUGGCACCAGGAGACAGUGGGAGAUGGUUGUCCACCUGCAAUUGAAAUAAGGACAUUUCUCAUCGCUUCACAGGGAGUGAAGGUGUCUGUGGGCUCGUCAAGUUGAGUAAGAAAGAAAGAUAGAUGUGGAGGAGGGACACAGGCUAGGGGAGAGAAAAGCUGGAGAUACCAACUGAUAAAAGAGUCCCCUUAGAGACAAAUGUAUG